CUAAGCGCCUGAAGUGUGGCACCGUCUUCGGAUGGUUCCUCAUGGAGCGCGCGACCCUAGCGAGUAGUAGGUAAGCAAUGGAGAGACGCAGGAAGGUAGCCGAACCGCGGCGAUGGUUGUUCCGCGGGUAAGGGUGUAGGGCGAGGUGUAGGCAAAUCCGCACCUUAUGUGCCUGAGACCUGACACGGACCCGUAAGGGGAAGUUGGUGAUCCUAUGCUGCCAAGAAAAUCUUCUAGCGAGGUUCUAGCCGCCCGUACCCCAAACCGACUCAGGUGGUUAGGUAGAGAAUACCAAGGCGAUCGAGUGAAUCGUGGUUAAGGAAUUCGGCAAAAUACCCCCGUAACUUCGGGAGAAGGGGGGCCCAGAGGGUGACGGGACUUGCUCCCCGAGCCUGAACGGCCGCAGAGACCAGGGAGAAGCGACUGUUUACUAAAAACACAGGUCCGUGCCAAGUCGCAAGACGAUGUAUACGGACUGACGCCUGCCCGGUGCUGGAACGUUAAGGGGACCGGUUAGCCUCACGGCGAAGCUGAGAACUUAAGCGCCAGUAAACGGCGGUGGUAACUAUAACCAUCCUAAGGUAGCGAGAUUCCUUGUCGGGUAAGUUCCGACCUGCACGAAUGGCGUAACGACUUCUCCACUGUCUCAACCACGAACUCGGCGAAAUUGCACUACGAGUAAAGAUGCUCGUUACGCGCAGAAGGACGGAAAGACCCCGGGACCUUUACUACAGCUUGGUAUUGGUGUUCGGUACGGCUUGUGUAGGAUAGGUGGGAGACUGUGAAGCUGACACGCCAGUGUCGGUGGAGUCAACGUUGAAAUACCACUCUGGUCGCUCUGGAUAUCUAACCUAGGUCCGUAACCCGGAUCAGGGACAGUGCCUGGUGGGUAGUUUAACUGGGGCGGUUGCCUCCUAAAAGGUAACGGAGGCGCCCAAAGGUUCCCUCAGCCUGGUUGGCAAUCAGGUUUCGAGUGUAAGUGCACAAGGGAGCUUGACUGUGAGACUGACAAGUCGAACAGGGACGAAAGUCGGGACUAGUGAUCCGGCGGUGGCUUGUGGAAGCGCCGUCGCUCAACGGAUAAAAGGUACCCCGGGGAUAACAGGCUGAUCUUGCCCAAGAGUCUAUAUCGACGGCAUGGUUUGGCACCUCGAUGUCGGCUCGUCGCAUCCUGGGGCUGGAGUAGGUCCCAAGGGUUGGGCUGUUCGCCCAUUAAAGCGGUACGCGAGCUGGGUUUAGAACGUCGUGAGACAGUUCGAUCCCUAUCCUCUGCGCGCGCAGGAAACUUGAGAAGGGCUGUCCCUAGUACGAGAGGACCGGGAUGGACGAACCUCUGGUGUGUCAGUUGUUCUGCCAAGAGCACCGCUGAUUAGCUACGUUCGGGAGUGAUAACCGCUGAAAGCAUCUAAGCGGGAAGCAUGCUUCAAGAUGAGGUUUCCAUGGGGUUUACCCCGAGAGGCUCCCAGCUAGACUACUGGGUUGAUAGGCCGGAUG
rnacentral:rRNA from 1 species